AUUGGACAAAUUCCUUCUGUCUUUUUCUUCUUGUUCUUUGCCAUAACACCCAUUCCGGGACGAAUUGGAAGAGGAAUUCCAAAAUAUUACACGGAUGAGACUCAUCGCACCGGAUCCUUUUCUCCUUUUGGCCAUAGCCAUAGAAGAAGCUGCUCCUCCGAAGCGAAGGGAGGGGAAUCUAUUGAUUCCUAUAACCCUGCUUAUAUAGCAUUUUUAAGACAACAUUUAGGGUUUUUCCCGGGUUUGGUACCAAAUCUGGAUAAACUCCUUUCGGUUCUUAAACCGGAGGAAAUUCUCUUUCUGGCUUUCCGCUUCCCGCGGGAUGCGAACAUGUUUAAAUUGCCCCUAAAGAAGAUCAAAGAUAUGAUUAAAGAAGUAAUGGCUAAAGAGGAGAAAACAGAUACAAGCCUCCAGUGGAAGGUUGUGAAGACCUAAGUAUGACGGAGGAGGAAAACAGAUACAAGCCUACGGUGGAAGGUUGUGAAGAUCUAAGUAUGACGGAGGAGGAAAAUAGAUACAAGCCUCCGGUGGAAGGUUGUGAAGACCUAAGUAUGACAGAGGAGGAAAGGAAAAAUUGCUGGAAGCAUUUUCUUUCCUAUGGGAUAAAAAACAAUGAAUUGGAACUAUUGAGUGGUGUAGGUAUCCAUCUUAGCAAAUAGAGAUACCGAGGCCCACCAACCUACUACUUGUUGGUUUGGUGGGGAAAGAGGAGUGGGUAUGAGGGCUUCUUUCACUUUUUAAGGCUAGUUUACAUCAUUCCACAUGAUGAUUUGCUAAUUGUUUUAUGAUCCUUGACUAGCUAUAUAGACCCUAGGAACUUGCAUGUGCUAUUACUGCUGUAUAAAGGAAAGGUGGCU
rnacentral:lncRNA from 1 species